rnacentral:rRNA from 1 species
AACCGACACAGGUGGGUGGGAUGAGUAUUCUAAGGCGCGUGGAAGAACCCUGGUUAAGGAACUCUGCAAAAUAGCACCGUAUCUUCGGUAUAAGGUGUGCCUACUUUGGUAUAUGGACUUGCUCCAAAAAGCUAUAGAGGUUGCAACAAAGAGUCCCUCCCGACUGUUUACCAAAAACACAGCACUUUGCUAACACGUAAGUGGAUGUAUAAGGUGUGACGCCUGCCCGGUGCUCGAAGGUUAACUGAUGAUGUCAGCGCAAGCGAA